AUCCUCUUUAUGACUGGUGGGAAGGUCAUGUGUGGGUUUAUAAGCAGAGAAAUAGACAUAUGCCAAGACAUGAUAUUGAUAUUCAUCAUCAUCACAAUCGUGUUAAUAAACACCGUGAGUUGAGAGGAAGGCACCACAAGCAUGAUGUUCAACAUAAGUGAAGAAGCACUCAUCAAGAGCUUAGGCAUAACCAUUCAAGAAGGGAUACGGUUAUUAUCUUCAACAUGUUCUUAAGGACAGCUAUAAGCAUAGGAGUGGCAGGAAAUCAAGAAUCAAGCAGCAA
rnacentral:misc_RNA from 1 species